rnacentral:rRNA from 1 species
CAGUCGCCGCGGUAAUACGAAGGGUGCAAGCGUUAAUCGGAAUUACUGGGCGUAAAGCGUGCGUAGGCGGUUUGUUAAGUCUGCUGUGAAAUCCCCGGGCUCAACCUGGGAAUGGCAGUGGAUACUGGCAAGCUAGAGUGUGUCAGAGGAUGGUGGAAUUCCCGGUGUAGCGGUGAAAUGCGUAGAGAUCGGGAGGAACAUCAGUGGCGAAGGCGGCCAUCUGGGACAACACUGACGCUGAGGCACGAAAGCGUGGGGAGCAAACAGGAUUAGAGACCCGAGUAGUCCCUGUCUCUUAUAC